rnacentral:lncRNA from 1 species
CGUGGGUUCAUUACGUGCUUUUCGUCUCGCUGAAGUGCGGUGGGGAGCCUUGAGAUGGAUCUUUCUAAACUUCCUGAGUGGUGUUCUAAUGCAGUGAAGGAGAUUGGAGUGCCAGACCUGCUUUCACUGCCUGUCUCGACCCUGGAGCACGAGUACCAUUUGGGACCAGGGGAGGUGCUCCAGGCCAGACACCUGCUGAUGGUGGAGGCCAGGAGGGCUCUCACACCUGUCUCAGCGCUGUCACUGCUGGAGGCGGAGGCGGACGGGCCGG